GAAAUCGGACCUCAUAUAUAAACUGACUCAGCUAUUUCUAAAGCCCCCAUUUAUCCCGAAAAUACAAGAAUUGUGAGAAAGAAAUAUGAUAUGCUUAUUUCACAACAAGAGUCAUUUUCUCAGCCGCAAAAUUAAAAAGCACUGCCAGUAUGCCUGCAUCAUAUACUGUUCAUGCUAUUUCCUCCUCGAGAUGCGGAAUUGCUUCCUUUCAUGUGGGGGAACUUUAUUCCAGAGCUAACCAAAUAACAAGGUAGAAGAUGCAUGCGUGUGGUGCCGUGAGCUAUGGUGCUCACAAUCCCUUCAAGAAAAUCUGCGUCAGGAAGGAGGUUGGGGAAGCAGUUCAUUCCUGCAGAAGAAGAAAAGAAGGACCUAAGAAGGACAAGCAAGGAAUGGCAACUAUUGGGAAUCCAUAGUAAAUAUGGCAGGCUCAUUGUUCAAGUUAAGAUUUUCGUGGAGAAGUAAAUCAAUAUGAAGAAUGGCAAGUAAAAAAAAAAAAGGAAAUUUUUAACAUUCACAAUGGAUUGUAUUGGGCUCUGUGUCUUCAUGAGACGAUGUCAUCCCUCGAAAAUUGGUGAAAAUAGGAGGAAAACAGAAAAUGUCAAAGAAAACAGUUCUCUUUACUCUUCUGAAUAUAUAUAUAUAUAUAUAUAUAUAUAUAUAUAUAUAUAUAUAUAUAUAUAUGGUAAUCAACAAGACGAUCAUUCU
rnacentral:lncRNA from 1 species